UACGAAGGGUGCAAGCGUUACUCGGAAUUACUGGGCGUAAAGCGUGCGUAGGUGGUUUGUUAAGUCUGAUGUGAAAGCCCCGGGCUCAACCUGGGAACUGCAUUUGAGACUGCUCUGCUCGGGUGCGGAAGAGGGAAGCGGAAUUUCCGGUGUAGCGGUGAAAUGCGUAGAUAUCGGAAGGAACACCAGUGGCGAAAGCGGCUUCCUGGUCCGACACCGACGUUCAGGCACGAAAAGCGUGGGGGAGCAAACAGG
rnacentral:rRNA from 1 species